GACGAACGCUGGCGGCGUGCCUAACACGUGCAAGUCGAGCGGGGUCCAUCCGGUAGCAAUACCGGGGAAGACCUAGCGGCGAACGGUGAGUAACACGUGAGAAACCUGCCCCGAAGUCUGGGAUAACCCGAGGAAACUCGAGCUAAUACCGGAUGUCUUCUUCUGAUCGCAUGGUCGGAUGAAGAAAGAUUUAUCGCUUCGGGAGGGUCUCGCGGCCUAUCAGCUAGUUGGCGGGGUAACGGCCCACCAAGGCGUCGACGGGUAGCUGGUCUGAGAGGACGAUCAGCCACACUGGGACUGAGACACGGCCCAGACUCCUACGGGAGGCAGCAGUGGGGAAUAUUGCGCAAUGGGCGAAAGCCUGACGCAGCAACGCCGCGUGCGGGAUGAAGGCCUUCGG
rnacentral:rRNA from 1 species